CACAUAUUCCAGAUGGGCAGUUGCAAGUUCCUCUGCAGUCCAUCCCAUAGGAGCCAUAUGGACAUUCUACGAUACAACAAGAUGGACAGAGAAGCAUUACAAUGUGCAGCAAAUUCAUUUCAAUUGCACUAAGCUGUAGAUAGCAAGGAGGAGCAGCACACCAGGGAUGCAGAGGAUGCAGACUUGCUUAUGCUUGAAAAAGACCAUGGUGACGGUCGAAACGUUGUAUCUUACCUUGAGAACAGGGAUCUGUCAAUGUCUGGACUUUACAACACGUUUGUGGCACAAACAAAAGAGAUUUUUGAGGAUCUUAGAAGAGUUGGUGAUGUUCAUCAGGCUGAGAAGGUUACAAAACUAUCUCUGAAGAGUUUGGACUCCACCAAUCCACAGUCAGAUUGUGUAUAAAUGGAGGAUUCUGAAGAGUGAAGACCAUUACGACCAUCCCCAGGAGUGGUCAACCAACAAUGAUCAUGCCAAGAGCAUGGCGUGUAAUUAUCCAAAAGAGAACCCAAGGUAACCCCUAAGCAACUUUCUCACAUUAGCUAAUAUUAAAGUUCACCAUCAGGAUCACACUGUACAACAAGGAUUUUUAUGGCACGAUUGCAAGAAGAAAGCCCCUGCUCUCCAAGAAGAACAUUGCUGCCCAUCUGCAGUUUGCUAAAGAACACUUGGACUAGCCAGAAGGCUAUUGGAACAAUGCUUUGUGGACAGAUAAGACCAAAAUAAAGCCUUUUGGUUUAAAAGAGAAGUAAUAUGUUUGGAGAAUGGAAAGCACUGCAUCUGGGCUAGGAUAGCCUGCCAUCAUUGAUGGUACAAUGAAUUCUGAAU